CCCAUGGAUACCGAUUGAUGCUUCCCUAGCGACGUUAAAUCGAUUCCUAACCCUAGAUUUGACUAGUCUUCCAUUUUCGUUCAGACCGGAGAUUUUUGGGCGGUAUAGUGGUUAACCCUAAACGCAUCGAACCCUGGAUGACCCUGGAUGAUGGCUGACUUUUAAACGUCGAGGGGGAGGCCUCCGUUGUUCUUAACCUUUGGCGUUCUAGCUCUCCCUUUUCUUUUCCUGACAAUUUCUGAUCUGGUACGCCUCCCUCUACCCUUACAACUACUUCAUUACUGUCCACGCAAAGAGGGACUCGACCUCCUUUGUCUAACCAAACAUCGUCAUUUAUAUCCUUCCCUUUUUUAUUUUUGAACAGCACACAGAUGAAGAGCAUGGG
rnacentral:lncRNA from 1 species